ACCCCUCCAACUUUCCCAUAUUUACCAUUUUCACCCCAACUUUUCCCUUUUAUUUCCAAAUUUCCUUUUCAAUCUCCUUAUAUAUCCCAUCCUUUUCCUCCCUUCUUCCCAUUCACUCACCCUCUCCAUUCCUUCCUGAUAUAUGCUUUCAUAUAUCAAAUCUGCCUGGCUCCCUGUAUGCCAUUUGUAGAGCGCUCACCGUCUUACCCGAUGACCUCCGUAGAUGGCGUAUGAGGAGCCAAGCAUAUUCCGUGUAGAUCGGGAUUCAAAUCUUUUAUCUUUAACAUCACAACUUAUCCCCUCUUUUGUUUUUUAACUCAUCUAUGUCUUAUUCAGCUCAGCUAUGCUCUAAAUUGGUAAUUCUCGAACAAACCCUUUUCAAUGCUCGUGCCCUUUUCUUAUUGCAGCUACCCGAAAAACCCUAAUUUCAAAUACCUCCGUAAAUGGCUUAUGAGGAGCCAAGCAUAUUCCGUGUAGAUCGGGAUUCAAAUCUUUUAUCUUUAACAUCACAACUUACCCCCUCUUUUGUUUUUUAACUCAUAUAUGUCUUAUUCAGCUCAGCUAUGCUCUAAAUUGGUAAUUCUCGAACUAACCCUUUUCAAUGCUCGUGCCCUUUUCUUAUUGCAGCUACCCGAAAAACCCUAAUUUCAAACAUUGGCAUUGAAGAGAGGGAAUAUCACAGAUUCACAGACACAAUACGUCUUUUAUUUUAGGGUUUUCAUCAUUUCCCUUAAAUUUAGGGUUCUUGUUUGGAAAUCACUGUUUGGCAACGGUUUAAAAUGUAUCCAUGUUCGGGAUUUGUUCUUAGCAUUAACCAGGUUAUGUAUAUUGAUAUAAAAUCUUCAUUUAUUUGCAUGGUUGUCACAUGGAUCGAUUCAUAUCUUUCAUUUCCAUAACCCAAAACCAUAUUAUAAAAUUAUAUGUAAUCUUUCAUUCUACCUUAUAAUUUGCAAUGUACUUCUUUCAUCAUGAUGUCCUUGAAUCUAUAGCUUAUUAUAUAUACUUAUUAUAUAGUUUUAAUGAAUGAAAAUUAAACAUUGUGAAAUAUAUUUAGAUCUCAUGUAUACAAAUGUAUAAUAGCAAGCGACCGAAGAUCUGAUGGGAUGAAAUCUGAUCGUGUGGUGAUGGGUUGUUCAAUAUGAAGAGAGUAAGAUAGAUCUGGCCACAGAGGAUCCAAAUAUAUAUAUAUUUGAAUGGGAAAGAAUCUACGUGGAAAGAGCUUGAGGAUUCUCUCAUAGCUAGGGUUAUUUGGAUAGCAUCUUAGCCUAAUGGCUAGCUAUAUUCUACUACAUGUAGUGUAAUAAUCAAACAUUUAUCUCAAUAAAUCCUUUUUUUUUUCGUUCGUUUUCCGUAAUUGUUAGCACGUUUUCGAGCUCUCGCUUUGCUGAUUUGUAUAUACAGUGUUCGAGAUAUAGGUAGGAAUGAAGUGAUUGUUCUCGUUUUGAACUC